ensembl:lncRNA
CCAGAAUUGACAGCGUUUGAUUCUUUCCUGAAAACAAGUCAUAGGAAGACACAACAGUAAAAUCCCAGGGGUGUCCAAGGUUUAAUUCAGUCUCAGUUUGAGAAGUCUGCCUAAAAGCCCGUGCACCAGGAUGCUUGUGAUGACAUGAGCCCCCAUAAAAGUCUGUGAACGUUUCAGCUGAGGACAGUGCCUUGAAGGAAAGUUUGCCAGUCGCUUUUCCUGUGAGGUAGAAGAUGGCUCUUUAUUCCCAUUUAUUUAUCACUCUGUUACUUGUGCCAGGCUGUGAAGCAGAAGAGGACCAUCUCUGGGAGGCCUGUCCUGCUUCUUGCAAGAGCCUGAGCAGAAAGUGAGCAUCCUUCCCAGUUUGGCAGUGGAUAGUUCUGCCAACACUUCGCACAGCUGGAGAAGGACAUGCUAGCCUUUUCCAACCAGAUCCAUUCUUCUUCAUGAGACUGACUUUUACAGCCAUUCCAAUGGGGUAACUCAUCCCUGCUCACAUUAUGUGUUCUUAAAUUAAUUUCAAAAUACUUCAAGAUUACCUUCAUCUAAUGGAGAACCUCUGGGAAAGAUACCUAGCCCCUGGGCACCUACAGUGUUCCCGGUAAUGUCUGUAAAAUGUCCACUGGUUGUGCUACACUCCUCCAUAUCUGUACCUCAUAAUUUCAGAUUAGAAGUACCAAGUGACUUUCAGAUGUGCCUCAUUUCAAAAUGUUUCCCCACUUUGCCUCACUAUCCAUGCUCUCCUAAAGAGUCUUGGAGCAAAAGUGACAAUGUGGUGAGAAGGAGAAGGGAUACUGCAAUCAUUUAAUGUGCAUCUUGCCACAUACCUUCCAACCACUGAAUAUGCCUAAUAUCUCCUCAACAUUUUCUUAACUUUGUAUCUUGUCAUGUUACAGAAAUCAAUAGAUGCACCUCCUGAAAUAUUCUGCAAUGCU